AGAAAGAAACUCAGUUCUCUUUCAUCCUCUCACAGCUGCACCUCAAAUCCUUCUCCAACUCAUUUCUCUUAGGGUUUGAUAAUCAUGUCUAAUAAAAUACCAGAAUUUAAUUUUCUGUGCUACUAGAAAUAGAAGUGAAGGUGGUUAAUCAGGAAGUAGGAGAAGACAUGGGGUUGAAUCUGAACAAUCUUAGACUAGUGAAUCUCACAGUAUUGUUUUGUUGACUAGAGAUUCGCAAUAUCUUGUUUGAAGAAAUAUGAUACAGGAUUCGAAAGGGUCUUUGUCGAUUUUCAGAAAUGGAGAUUGAAGAAUAGUUAAUGCUGCAGAUGAUGAGAUUAUGGAGGUUGAUGACUUUGAAUCCCCUGAUUAAAGAUUAAAGAUUAAAUCUCUUACUUCUGAUGUGGAAGAAUUUUUCACGCAGUACAAUCCUGGAUUCAUCCGGUGUAUGGUUCAGAUCCAAACCAGUGGCAUGCUGCAAUAUGUACAGAUACAAUGGAGCUUAUGAAGCCUAUGGAUAUGUUUCAGAUGCUCAAGAUCCUAACACGUGUUCUUACCAAGGUAACAGUGGUCCUGGAUAAUCAACAUCACCAACAAGAGCCAGAAUCAAUGUUAAUUGGUUCUUGCUGUUGGGAGUGAGGAUGGCUACUUGAGAGUCUUCAAGUGGCCUAGCAUGGCACUUAUUAUUGAUAAAGCUGAUGCUCACCCAACUCUGAAGGAUCUGGAUUUCAGUCUUGAUGGGAGGUUCCUUGUCUCCUUGGGAGGUGGUCCAUGUCUGAUUUGGGAUGUAGAAACAACAACAAUUGUAGCUUCUAUACUGAGGGAAAAUGUGAGAAGAGAUCCUUGAAUGGUAAUGGCAGCCAGAUUCUUCACGUUACAACAAUGAGAGAUCGUGGAGGCAGUAUCGUGUCCUUUGACACAUCCUCAUGGACGAGAGUGUCAUCGAAGCACGUAGUGCCCGACCCUAUUUCUGCGUUCAGUGUAUCACCUGACGGAGAACUCCUUGCUAUGUAAAAGUUUCCUUUUUUUACUGGUUGUCUUUAUCCUAAGGUGUCUUUAGUCUCAUAACCCUCUUUUUCGACCCCAGAUAGAAUUGUUGGAUGAAAAUAUUAUUUGUUCCUUUUAACACAAGGAUCUUGUUUAUAGCUUUGUGUCCUGUGCCUGUGUGCGAGAACUGAUAGGUGCCGACUGUAUUGCCUUUACUCAGAGAAACUCUACUUCUGAUAGUUCAUUCAGUUACCCUAGUUUCCUGUCCUUAGGUAUCUGGUAUUUCUUCUAAUAAUGCUUCAAUGAAAUAUUUGUCUUAUUAAACCCAUGUCGUAUCUUUUGCAAACUAGGAUUAAAGUGUCUUCUCUUCUAUCAGAAAACCGAAAGAAACUUACAUGAAAGUGUUGCAUUUUUAUGUUUUGCGUAUAUAUCUUAUUACCCCUGAUGGCUCUACAACAUAUGGUCAACUGGAGCUCACUUCAGGGAUUGAGUUCAUUUAUUUAUGUUAUAAAGAUAUAAUUCUACUUUAUCACUUGACAUUUAAUCUAAUCAGGAAUCUGAUUGGCCUUUUUCCUUUUCAAAUUGGUAAACAUGCAGCGGAACAAUCCAAGGAGGUGUAUGGCUAUACAAAUCCAUCAAUACACGAGUGACAUCAAUAAUUAAGAAAUCGAGCCUUGGUCUAGUUACUGCAUUGAAAUUAUCUGAAGAUUCUAGAUUGCUGGUCUCUGCAUCCAUGGACUCCAGUGUUAGGGUGACCAAAGUUUAAGAAGACACGACACUUGAGGGUACACCGUAGCUGAGGAGGCACCAAGCUGUCGUUACACGUCCAUGGAUUGGAUGAUGAGGAAUAAGGAUUAAGAUUGAGGUUCAAAGGUCUUGUAGCUGAUGACAAUUAGGUUCAAAGGUCUUGUAGCUGAUGGCAGUAGCUGAUGGCAGGAAAUAGUAUUACCUCCUGAACCUUCGGGACAAGCAGGGAGGGAUGUAUUAUACUUGACAAAGAUGGGUUCGCAACAAAGGAACAAACACAUCUCUCUGAUAUUUGUGAGGCGGUUCAGCAGCUCAUUGUAAACUAGGGUAUUCGGACUUGCACUUGUCUUUAGAAAUUGUCUUUAAGAAACAUGUGAACCUAUCAGCUGACUUGUAUUGGUGCAAAUUCAGGAUUUUUUUUAUUAAGUUUUUCUGAUUUUGAUGCUAAGUGCAGGUUUCAUUUCAUGGAAAUUUUGCAAUUUGAACCUGUAUGAAUUGUAAAAUGAAUAUUGGUUCCUAAAUAAAUUGCCAUUUGAAUAUAUGAA